UCUCUUGCUCUUUCUCUCUCUCUUUCUCUGCUGUUGCUGAACUGCAGCUCCCACUGGAACUUGCACAAUCAAAAACAGCUCUUUUCUCAUACACCAGUGAAUCAUAUCACCUGAAGAAGAAGAGGAGCAAAAAGAAUGCACCAGCCUGGUUGCUUAUAAAACAAGAGGAGCACAUCCAGGGGAAAGGCAAGGAUUUAUGUGAGACCCACUUAGCCUGAGCUUUGCUGCCUGUGGUUUGUGGGCUGUCACUGGAUUUUAUAGGAGUUUACGGUUAAGGAAUGUUUAAGCACAGCUGAUCGCCUAUUGCACCCGAAAGCUGGCAGAGACUGCUGCUGCAGUAGCUGUUGCAGCAGAAUGAAUGUGUGAAAGAUAGUCGCCUGGGCACUGCUUGUGAGUCUCCAGUCCUACUCUGUCUUCAUUAACUGUCUGGAGAAGAGACACUGAAGAUAACAGAUGCACUAACUAAGCAAGUGCCACACUGGAUCUAUCACUGUGUACUCCUUACUGUGGAAAAUGGUCAACAAAGACAUGAAUGGAUUCCCAGUCAAGAAGUGCUCAGCCUUUCAAUUUUUUAAAAAGAGGGUACGAAGAUGGAUUAAGAGCCCAAUGGUCAGCAUGGAAAAGCACCAGAAUACCAACCUCAAAUACACAGGGUCCACUGUGAUGCACAUACCUCAAGGGGAGCCAGAACUUGAGUCUUCACUAUGCCAGACAUGCUUGGGUGACCACUCUUUUCAACGAGGAAUUGUUCCUCAGGAGGCAGAUCGUGUCCUGGGAAAGCCACAGAAGUUGUAAAAUAAAGGAGUCCUGUAGCAAAGGCGACCUGCUGGCUAAACCUGAUCCAAGAACCUUCUGGAAUAGAGCUGACUCAGGUAAGGAUGGAACUCAAAGUACAUGUAAACACACACGGAUGUAUUCUGCAGAAAGAGGGCUUUCCCUUUUGAUAUAGUUCUAUUCAAGGGUUACGUACUUUGUACUAAAGCCAAGCAAAAAUCGAUUAUUUUUAAUACAGAAAUGAAGUAUAACAGACAUCCUCUCACACACAUAGUGCUUGCUGGUAAAAACAAUGUUUCAGAAAAUAGAUUUAGCAUAUUAUGUGGUUGGAUACAUAAUGAUUCCCGUGGAAUAAUGCCAUAACAUAAUGAUGCAAAACAAAAUUACUACAGCAAAACUGUUUUACAAACUCUGAGCCAAAUUCUACCCUUGAUCCACUGUGUAAAUGCAGUUCCUGUUAACUUCUAUAAAGAGUCAUGCGGACACAUCCAAAGUCAAAAUUAGACACUAUCUGUCCCCAAUUGAGCAAAGCAUCUGAGUACUGUGUUAAGAUUUAAGCACAUAACUAGCCCCACUGGCUUCAAAAAGAGAAAGAAAGUGAAGGUGGGAUAAACUGAAUAAAGUGAGAUAGCCAGGCAGUUGGUACGCUCUGAAUGCCAAUCGUUAUUAGACCAAACUCACAAUCUCGUCACUGUUAUCCUGUCCAACCUUCUGUUUUGAUUUGUUGUCCUCUCUACCUGUUGUCUUGGCAUUGUCUACAGGAGAAAGCUGUUGUGAUGGUUAGAGUAAUGAUACUGUAGAUAGUAGAUUUUGCUGACAGUUUGGAUAGGGAACAACUAUGUUAAAACUUUUUUUUAAAUUUGUAAAUGUUCUCUAGCCACCAAUGGUUCCAUUUAAUAAGGCCUUAAAAAUAACUCACUGCUUCAGUUAGCUAAAGUUUAUUAAAACCCACUUGCCUUUUCCUAUCAAUUAAAGUACAGCAAAAGUCUAGCCCUAUAGCCAAUCAACACACUCUUGUGAAAAUGCCAGAGGGUUAGAACUAAGAAAACUGAAAAACAAGUUAAACAGUGUCUUUUUUCAGGUCAUUUCCUUGG